GAUGAAGAACGUAGCGAAAUGCGAUAAGUAGUGUGAAUUGCAGAAUUCAGUGAAUCAUCGAAUCUUUGAACGCACAUUGCGCCCCUUGGUAUUCCAUGGGGCAUGCCUGUUCGAGCGUCAUUUGUACCUUCAAGCUCUGCUUGGUGUUGGGAGUUUGUCUCGCCUCUGCGUGUAGACUCGCCUUAAAACAAUUGGCAGCCGGCGUAUUGAUUUCGGAGCGCAGUACAUCUCGCGCUUUGCACUCAUAACGACGACGUCCAAAAGUACAUUUUUACACUCUUGACCUCGGAUCAGGUAGGGAUACCCGCUGAACUUAAGCAUAUCAAUAAGCGGAGGA
rnacentral:misc_RNA from 1 species